GAUCCUGGCUCAGAACGAACGCUGGCGGCAGGCUUAACACAUGCAAGUUGAACGGGAUUUGUGUGGUGCUUGCACCAUAUAAUGAGAGUAGCGCACUGGUGAGUAACACGUGGGAACGUACCUUUUGGUGGGGGACAACAUCUGGAAACGGAUGCUAAUACCGCAUAAGACCUGAGGGUGAAAGAUUUAUCGCCGAAAGAACGGCCCGCGGAAGAUUAGGCAGUUGGUGGGUAAAGCCUACAAACCUCGAU
rnacentral:rRNA from 1 species